rnacentral:tRNA from 1 species
GGGGGAGUAGCUCAGUGGGAGAGCGCCUGCCUUGCAAGCAGGAGGUCGGCGGUUCGAAUCCGCUCUUCUCCA